ACGAACGCUGGCGGCAUGCCUAACACAUGCAAGUCGAACGAUUGCCUUCGGGUGAUAGUGGCGCACGGGUGCGUAACGCGUGGGAAUCUGCCCUUAGGUUCGGAAUAACAGCUGGAAACGGCUGCUAAUACCGGAUGAUAUCGCGAGAUCAAAGAUUUAUCGCCUGAGGAUGAGCCCGCGUUGGAUUAGGUAGUUGGUGGGGUAAAGGCCUACCAAGCCGACGAUCCAUAGCUGGUCUGAGAGGAUGAUCAGCCACACUGGGACUGAGACACGGCCCAGACUCCUGCGGGAGGCGGGAGAGGGGAAUAUUGGGCAAUGGGCGCAAGGCUGAUGCAGCAAUGCCGCGUGAGUGAUGAAGGCCCUAGGGUUGUAAAGCUCUUUUACCCGGGAAGAUAAUGACUGUACCGGGAGAAUAAGCCCCGGCUAACUCCGUG
rnacentral:rRNA from 1 species